rnacentral:tRNA from 1 species
UAUACUUUAGUGCAUGGGGCACAAACAAUUUUGAUGUUUUAAGAAAUAGUUCAAUUCUAUUAGGUAUAA